rnacentral:rRNA from 1 species
UCUGGUUGAUUCUGCCAGUAGUCAUAUGCUUGUUUCAAGGACUAAGCCAUGCAUGCCUCAGAAUAACUGCUUUGCAGGAAUCUGCGCAUGGCUCAUUACAUCAGACGUAAUCUGCCGCAAUAGUCUUGCGGUCUCCGCAUUAUUGGAUAACUUGGCGAAACGUCAAGCUAAUACAUGAACUAAUGCGGAACUCCUCGGAGUUUUGCUGCGAAUGAAUGACAUUAAAACCACCGCCGCGGACGCGGCAGCAACACAGCAGUGUUGACUCAAUUCAUUCCGUGCGAAAGCUGGUUUACCAGCGUCUUUUGACGAACAACUGCCCUAUCAGCUUGUGUGGGCAGUGUAGUGGACUGCCAAGGCUUUGACGGGAGCGGGGGAUUAGAGUUCGAUUCCGGAGAGGGAGCCUGAGAAAUAGCUACCACUUCUACGGAGGGCAGCAGGCGCGCAAAUUGCCCAAUGUCAAAAAAAAAAGAUGAGGCAGCGAAAAGAAAUAGGGCCUGCAGACCUUCGGGUAUGUGGGAUACAAUGGGGGAUAUUUAAUGCCAUCCAAUAUCGAGUAUCAAUUGGAGGACAAGUCUGGUGCCAGCACCCGCGGUAAUUCCAGCUCCAAAAGCGUAUAUUAACGCUGCUGCUGUUAAAGGGUUCGUAGUUGAAUUGUGGUUUGCGAAUCCGCUGUUCCGUCCUCUCGCAGGGCGCCAGCGCUCGCCUACCGUGAACAUUCGAAACGUAAUACACGGGAAUGGUUCCAUCCCACCUUCGCAUGCCAUGCAUGCGGGAUGGCGUCCGUGAUUUUUACUGUGACUAAAAAAGCGCGACCAAAGCAGUCGUUCGACCUGAAUUUUCAAGCAUGGGAUAACAAAGUUGACCUUCGGAUAUUUCCGUUUUCGGCUUUUGUUGGUUUUAACAGUCCGUGGGACAUUAUAGACGCGUGCGACAACCCCUCACGGGGUUCCGGCUUGCCGGUUCAUUGCGUCUCAGAAUGAAAGAGGGUUGCUCGGGGGAGAACGUACUGAAGCGUGAGAGGUGAAAUUCUUAGACCGCUUUAAGACGAACUACAGCGAAGGCAUUCUCCAAGGAUACCUUCCUCAAUCAAGAACCAAAGUGUGGAGAUCGAAGAUGAUUAGAGACCAUUGUAGUCCACACCACAAACGGUGACACCCACGAAUUGGGGAGUUUUUGGUUGCUGGCGGCCAGGCUUGCCUGGUCCGCCAACGCCAAUAUUUCAAUUUACGUGCACGUUCUAACUGGCGUCAAAACCAGUUUACGGGAACAUCCUCAGCACGUUUUUUAUUCCUUCACGCGAAAGCUUUGAGGUUAUAGUCUCAGGGGGGAGUACGUUCGCAAGAGUGAAACUUAAAGAAAUUGACGGAAUGGCACCACAAGACGUGGAGCGUGCGGUUUAAUUUGACCCAACACGGGGAACUUUACCAGAUCCGGAGAGGGUGAGGAUUGACAGAUU